AUCGCGAGAUCAGGAAGGUGGCCGAGUGUGUCGCCGCGGCCAUCAGGCACUUCUCCUUCCUGCCCUUGUAUGAAGAAGGAUGUGUUUGCUUCCCCUUGUGCCAUGAUUGUAAAUUUCCUGAGGCCUCCUCAGCCCUGCAGAACUGGGGUUAUAGCCAUGUGACUGAUCUUCGUCCAAGAAUAUGUAAAGAAAAAGUGUUGAGUUGGCUUUUAGGGCUAGAGCAAUGUAUCUUAGGCUCACUUAAGGAAGCUGUAGAGAUGAGCCCAAGGAGGGAAACCAGAAGAGCCCCCCAGGCUCACCAGUUGUUUGUUGGCUCCCUACAAACAUGUCAUUCAAGUGGCUAAUCUUACAACAGCACAAAUUCAUCUAACCAGAAAGAGAAGAGGAGGCUCCAAAGGCACUUGACUACUGAGCAUCACCCUGGACGUGUACAAGUCUGCGUCCUUAUUGUUUUCUUCAUUGGGCCGAACUUUCUGGUCCUCAUCCAACAGCUCUUCUAUCACGUGUUCGAAAGUGUCAGCCAAUGAUGUCAAGCCUCUUGAACCUGCCUUGGGCCCAUUCACGCUCUCCAGAGUCCCAUGGGUCCGCACACCUGGAGAUACUCUAUUAUAGCAAAGAAGAAAGAUAAUUUCAUUGAGCCAUCCUGUUUUACAGGAAAUUCUGCAAGUGGCAACGUGGGUCCAUUCCGUGUGUGUCACUAGAGCUGGCGCAAGCCCAUGGCCAUGGUGAGGCAGCGUUUCCACUGGAACUAAUCUGAUACCUGCACCAGCUCUUGCAACUGUGCAGUGUUCCCACUGCAAACUACGGAUGGGGUAAAAGACUGCUCACCUCCUAUUUCUCAUCUAAUCUCACACACUCUGUUUGAUGAGGCUAUGGAGAAACAGGUCUUCUCAUACACUAAAGGUGGGAGUACAAACAAUUCAAGCCCUGUGCAGGACAAUUAGGCAAUACCUAUCAAAAUUAUACAUGAUUUUUCCUGCUGACCCAGCAAUUCCACUUCUGGGAAUAAUUGACAGAUAUAGGUGCAUAUGUACAAAAUGAUGGAAAGCUCUCUGGUAUAUAUUAGUAAGUGAUAAAACAAGGUGUAAAAUAGUGUAUAUAUGGCUACUACCUUUUGUUUUAAAAAUGGGGGAAAAUGGUGGAGCUUGCGGUGAGCCGAGAUCGUGCCACUGCACUCCAGCCUGGGCGACAGAGCGAGACUCCGUCUCAAAAAAAAAACAGGGUGGGGUGGGGGGGAAAUAAUAGUACAUACUCAUAUUUACCUGUAUCUAUAUAAAACACACUAUCAAGGAUUCACAAGAAACUAAUACAAAUGAUCACCUUAUAGAUGGUAUGUAUUGGGGGAUACUGAGGUGAGCAGGGUAUAAGUGGGGCAAGACUUUUCAGUGUAAACUUCUUUUAAAUUUUAUUUUGAUUUUUGAAUAAUGUAAAUUAACUGUCAAAUAAUUAAAUUAAAAAUAACCAAUUUAUUAACAAAA
rnacentral:lncRNA from 1 species